UACGUAGGGUGCGAGCGUUGUCCGGAAUUAUUGGGCGUAAAGGGCUCGUAGGCGGUUUGUCGCGUCGGGAGUGAAAACCAUGGGCUUAACUCAUGGCUUGCUUUCGAUACGGGCAGACUAGAGGUAUGCAGGGGAGAACGGAAUUCCUGGUGUAGCGGUGAAAUGCGCAGAUAUCAGGAAGAACACCCGUGGCGAAGGCGGCUCUCUGGGACGGUACUGACGCUGAGACGCGAAAGCGUGGGGAGCGAACAGG
rnacentral:rRNA from 1 species